rnacentral:lncRNA from 10 species
GCCAGUCUCCAAUGCUACCACCAAGGCUCUCUUGCUUUUUUUCUUUCCCCUCUCUCUCUACUCUUUUAAUUAAAUCCUAACUCAUCUCUCUGCUUCCAACCCUGCCUCUGCAUUAGUCAGUGCUUCUUAACAGGGGCAGGGCACACUCCUUGGAUUGUGGGAGUGGAAAAUUGAUUGGAUAUUGGUCACCACCAUAAUUGGAGAGGUACUGCUGCCGUUUAGUGUACAGAGGCCGCAGAGGUUAGAGACGCAGCAACGCAUGGCUAUUCAGCCACGGACGUCAAAUGCCUGCCAGACAUUUAGGUGAGUGAAACCUUUUUCUUUCAAAAAUCUAAGCCUAGGCCGGGCGCGGUGGCUCACACCUGUAAUCCCAGCACUUUGGGAGACCCAGGUGGGCGGAUCACGAGGUCAGGAGAUCGAGACCAUCCUGGCUAACACAGUGAAAGCCCAUCUCCAAUAAAAAUACAAAAAAUUAGCCCGGCUUGGUGGCGGGCGCCUGUAGUCCCAGCUACUCCGGAGGCUGAGGCAGGAGAAUGGCGUGAACCCGGGAGGCGGAGCUUGCAGUGAGCUGAGAUCACACCACCGCACUCCAGCCUGGGCGACAGAGCCAGACUCCGUCUCAGAGAAAAAAAAAAAAAAAAAAAAAAAGCCUAAAAUGUACUCCAUUUGGCAUGUAAACACAGAUAUUCUUGCCAGGUUUUAAUAUUCGCUAAUUCUCCAGGAAUGCAACUAUCCUGCAAGUCAAAGAAAGACUGUGUUUGAUUUGUUCACAUCUUUACCAAGAAGUGUUCACUAGUUUGAAAAAUCACGUACUCAGUGGGAAUGUUUCUCAUAAUAUUGAGUCAUCAAUUAAUUCUACAUCCUUGUAGCAGGUCUCUACUGUUGCUUAGCUGUCACAUUCAUGGUGAUUCUGCAUAUAGACGCUUCCAUACUUCAUUAUAUCCUAUGGGGUAGUUGUAUCCAAAUAUUUAUUUUACAUUUAUAUUAUUAUCAAUCAUUUUCUAUUUAUUUCUCCUUCAGAUUCAGUCAGACUUUAUAUAGGUCAUUUUUUGAAGUAUGUGAUAGGUGUUAUAUGUUAUCUGUGAACUUAUUUUCUGCACAGUAAUGAGGGUAUUAUAAAAUAUUUUCAAUGAUUUUUAUGUUAGAAAAAGUUAAGAAUAGCAGAUGUACGGCAUUUCACAUGCAGAAGCCAGCUUUAUCUUUCUCAGGCAGGGAUCAGAUGAUGUCCUUUACUUAUGUAGGAAGUUUCAGUGGCUCCCCCUGCCUAUGACAUAAAGACCCAACUCUUAAGACUGACAAUCAAGAAGUAUCCCAAGUUAAUUAAAUAGUGUUAGUCUUUGUUGUGGCCUCAUUUUUGCACUCAUGUAACAUCCUAGGACCCAAUCAACCUGGACUAGACGUUCUUCUUGGAAAGUUGCCCUGCAUAUCACAAACUGUGUAGAUGCUCAGACUUUUGCUCUGCCAAGAUGCCCUCCUACCAUCCACAGCUUUCUAAAUCCUAUUCAGGUUUCAAGAACCAGUUCAGAUUCUACUUCCUCCAUGAAACAUUAGUUUAACCAAUGCUUCCCAUGCCUCUCUUUUCUAUUAGUUGAAAUCAAUUAUUUUAAAGGAAAUGUAUAUAUAUACACACACACACAUAUAUAUGUAUAUUUCACAUAUAUAAUGUGAAAUAAUAUAUAUAUAUAUUUCACAAUCUAGAACUCUGUAAAUGUGUGUAUGUGUAUCUACAUUGUAAUGGACUGUAGAUUUGUCUGAUCUUACCAACUAGGUUGUAAGCUCUCUGAAGGCAGUUGCCAUUUCUUGUUCAUUUUUGUACCUGCCCAACACUGAGCAAAGUAUAUGACCCUGAGUGUGAGUUCAACAAAUAUCCAUUGAAAUAAAAUGACCUCUCAGUGAUUGAGAAAGGUAGUCUAGGUACUAUUACCUUUAUUUCAUGCAUGAGAAAACGAAGCUGUAAAUGAGUCCUAACAGGUUGUGGUAUGCAGAGUGUCAGAUGAGGCACACUGUAUGGGUGAAAUGUAUGGUUACUUCCAGCCCAUGCCAGGUCCAGGCCUGCACCUGGAAAAGAUCUAGAGAGGCUGACCUACAUUUCUGCUGCCAGAAAAUAAAAAUCUUCAUUUCCAGAUCAGCUUUCCAAUACACGGGUUUGGAUUUAUGGGACUCUAUAUAUCAGUGAUGAUGGCAACUCUUCCACCUCUUAAAACCUAAUCACCGAAUAGAGCUGCAGGUUUUCUCUUUUUAAGAUAUGUUCUCAGCAGAAUCCCUCCAGAAAUAAGACUUGAGCUUCCCAGAAGCUUCUUCAGGCUUGCCCGGUGUGCAAGGGUCGAGCUUCAGUUACACCCCUUGGCACAGCGCCAGCCUUGGCAGACCCAUCCGUCACAGCAAAGCCUGCUCUUCUCCCACACUGCUGGCGUUGGAAAUGGAAGUGGCCUUUCAACAGAACAUUGUCUUAGGAUUGUGUGAAGCAAGGCUGACAGAGAAAGGAAGAUUCAUUCCUGACACCAAUCAUACUAGUAUCUGUCACCAAAAUGACAUUUUCCCUUUAAUGAUGAAAAAUGCAUCAGGAAAGAGGGAGGAGGAUGAACAACCUCCCUGGGCUGCUCUGGUUUGAUAGGGAGGAGCCCGGGCUGCUGCUGGUGGUUUGCAAUCUGGAGGAGGUGAGGCGAUGGACAGCCAGUUGGUCACUGAACAAACACAACUGGUGCUCUGUUUGGAAGCGAAGGGUGCAAGCAGAUGGAAGCCUGUGGGUUAGGCAGUGUCACGGCACAUCUGACUGAUUUCUCAUUAGGCCCUUUGCCUGGGGUUUCAAUAGAACUGCCUCCAUGUCUGUCAGGCCCCAAGCAGAGGCUCAGUACUGCUUUUCAGAGCUGCCAUACACAUAGUUUACCACAUCCAGUUUUGCAGAGCUCAUAAAUCUUCCCAAGUCUUCACUCCCUUACUUUCUUAUGUGGAAGGGCCACAGUGCGGAUCCCAUAUGCACAUCCAGGGUGAAUCUGUUGGUGGGGAUGACCCAUGUAUGGGUGAAAGUGCCUUUAGGCCAAUACUUUAUAGACCAAGCCUGAACACAUGGAGAGGUGGGGACAGCAGAGUAACUGGCUCGUGUCUCCUAAUUAGGCAAGCAUGUGGCUGGCGGUUGAAGAGAAGCCGCACAAUUGCCCCCAGUGCUCACAGAGUAUUUCCCAACAAACACCAGAUUGUUAUCCAGAAGUCCAUUGUUCACAGAGGUGUUCGGUGCUGACUUCUAUAUAAAAUGCCUUUCCCUCUCCUUCCUUCUUUCCUACUGGCAAAGCCUGCCUCCCACAAAAGAAGCUAAAAAUGCCAGAUAUUCACCUUUCUCUCUCUUUUGCAGCUAUGCAGGUCACUUUACACAGUAGAAGGACUAGAUAUUCCUCCUCAUCAAAAAGAAACAUGCGCCCUCUUCCAGGCCCACUUGAUUACUAUCUUUGAUCAUGGUUAGGUGAUGGUGUGAGAGAUGAAGAAAGGUGGCCACCUUUCACUCAUGACACGCAGAUCUCACAUGCCGAGCAUGAUGGAGACCAACUCUGAGGUCCUGGGUCCUGGAGGCCAUUGCUGAGCAUGGACACACCCCACCUCCAGGCUUCCUUGAUGCCCUCACUUUUUAAGCAUCUGCUGUAAGGGGCUUGAUUACUUGCAACCAAAAACAUCCAAAGUAUUCCAUUUCCAUUUCCUUGGGAGAAAGAUAUUUUAAAGCUCUGAAGAUGGUACUUUGAGAUUCCUUCACUCAGCCCCGAGCUGGUGCUGCUGUGUCCACACGUCUUCUGCCUUCUGCUCCAGCUUUCGUUUAUUCCCUCACUCUCAUAGACAUUGGCAGACCCAGCCUGUUAAUGCACCAAGAAUAAUACUCCUAGAAGCACUAGGGUACUUCUAAAGUUUAAUGCUUUCACUAUUCUUUGCAACGUUAAUUAACACAACACCCCCUCAUUAGCUAACCUGCCAACAAAGCAACUCCGAAUCAUUUUCUUCUUUACGAAGGAGGAAACUGACUCAUUUAUAUACCUGUAUUUGCAUGAGUGGGCUUCUGGCUCCCCCUCUGCUCCUCCUACAUUCUCACUUUCAAAUAUAUUUUAGGCCAGCAAUGCUGCAAUUUCAAAGGGACUUCACCUAAACAAUUGAGCACCCAAAAUAAUUGAUACACUAGUGCACAUUUUUAAAAUUCUAGCCCUAAUACCCAACCCUACCAAUAAUCCAGACCACAAUGUCCACAUCCUACAUUCGGGCUGAAUAUGCUGUUCUCCUAUAAAGUUCUUGGUUUUUCUGCCUCCUUCUGCCCUUCCAGACAAGGUAGAAUCCCCCAACAAGAGCUCAAAGUCCAAAGUGACUUCUUAGCUCCAUAAGUGACACUCAGAGCUCUGCUGUAAGGGAGAGAAAGGGUAUGCCAAGGCUGUUCCCAGGGAAGAACAGCAGGCUGCAGGAGAAGAGUUUUCUGUCUGGAAGCUGAAAUGCUGAGGUGGCCCUGCUGUGGGGCCUUCUGCAAUGAGAUGCCCCGCUUCACAGUGGAUUCUUGUCAGGAGGAGCUCUGGCUCUUUGGGGAUGCCGGGCUGGCCUGGGCAAGGUCAAAGCUAUGGCUACCCCUCUUGCCCAGUCCACAGUGUCACCUGCUCCUUGACAGGAGAACCUGAUGAGCUUGGAGGCAGCAGCGUCUUUAAAUUUCCUCCACCCUCAAGUCUGUUAACAAGAGGGCAGCAUGUGGCCAUCCCGCACCAUGCCGACAAUGCAGUCAAAUGCUCAUUAGAGGCACUGGGGGCACCCCACAUCUAGUAGAAAAUACACAGAGAAAAGUAGGGGGCAAAGCACUGCAUGCCUUACUUUUAAAUUAGAAAUCAGCCAGGGCUUCCUGACAACAAAGGAAAUUACACACAGCUGAGAGGAGUGAUGCACUAUGUGCACACAAUUGUAAUUCACACGCAUUACUUUGUUCAUGAAAUGGUUGAUAAACUUUUGAGAAUGAGAAAGAUUCUCUCUCUUUGCACGGUUACAAUAACCAUAAUUGAUAUCAAAAUGUUAGAUUUGCGGAAUAAAUUAUACUUUAUCAUGUAAUGUAAUUCUCACCCAGCUACCCUGUCUAGCAGAACCAUGUCCCAUUUGACAGAUGAGUGAACCAAGCCUUAAAUGGGAAGAAGAAGAAGGCGGAGGAGAAGGAGGAGGAAAGAAGAAGAAGAAAGAGGAGGAGGAAGAGGAGAAGGGGAGGAGGAAGAAGAGGAGCAGCUGACAAAGUUCCCAUAGUGGAAUGUGGAAGACCUUGGUUUCAAAUUUAGUCGUCUAACUCCAAAUCAGUGUAUUUUACUGGGCUGUAGCUUAAUAAAUACAAGAAGCUACCCUCUCUCCUUGAGAAAUACUCCCUAGGCUGUGGCUCAUUUUAGAGAGUAAGAAGUGUUUAGAUAGGAUAACAGAGAUAAUUUACAAAGGGCAAAAGGAAGACUAUGAUUCAGGAGCAGACGAAUGAGAAUCAGAACCAUUGUCAAGAAUUAGGCCCAGUGAAAAAAUGGGACAUGUAAAAGAGAGAGAAAGAAAGUCCAAAAUGUCUGAGCAAUGUAACAGGCCUGCCAUUUAUCUCACUUCUGAAUAUCAGAAAAGGCAGCAUUUGUUGUCCACAGAAAAAUACAUGGGAUUUAUAGACACUGCCAGGCUCAAGGACCAGUGACACAACUCCCACCGCAGAGAGCCCUGUGGGGUGCUUUCCAGUGGCCACUGGUGGAGUGGGCAGAGUCCUCGGGGAACCAGAGGCCUGCUAUGCAUCUGGAGAGCUGCUUGCUCAGGAUGUCAUGGCUAAACUCCUUGAUCUCUUGGCAGCGUGUGGCCCCGUGAAAUGUGCUUCUUCUUUUUGAAAAGGCCUCUUUUUUUGGAAGUCAAGUCACCACACCAUUUAGAUUCCCCAUACUUCUGGACAGCAUCUUCCCAAGUGCUUUCCCCAACUUGUGGUCAACCCUGUCUUAUACCUCAUCUCGAUCUCUGUCAAUCAACACUAUUCACCCCUCAAGACACGCUUCGACUGACUGCCCCCGCAACCCUUCCAUGGAGUCCUGUCUUUUGGUCGUCCCAGUGAGAAGGGAUCUCUCUCUUCUGAAUGCCUGUAAUGUUUUGUGUCUCCUAUAGCACAUUGAACACACUGCCUUCUGAUAUAGUUGGGUGUCAACAUAUGGUAUCCUCCCUACAAGGGAUUAGCUUGUUUCUAAGACCUUAGUCUUUUUAUUAGACCAAUUUACUUGAUAGAUGAAAAGACUCAUAGAAGUCAUCUAAAUCAAUGUGCCCAUGUUGUAGAUGAGGAAAUGAGCCCUAGAGAGCUGACAUAGUCUAAACAAAUUCGCACAUUCUCCUCUCGCUAGGCUAGAGGAGAGCUGGAAUUCAUUUGCACCCUGAAAUCAGGGACGUGCUUGCCCAGAAUGAGGACAGAAAAGGUUGAAGGAAUGAAUGAUUCUGACAAAUCCCCUAGACCUGCCAUCCCACUGUCAAAAGUGGUUCUGCCAGAGACACAGACAAUGAGUAGGGGAUCCUCAAGUCAACCUCAUCCCAGAGAUAACCAUCUCACUUAGCAUGCGUCCGGGUGGCACCAUCAGCAGCACACAGUAUCUGUUCCCAUCCAAAGAGCUUUUCACGAGGAGCUCGUUCUGAGCUUCUUGAUAAGCAACUGGGUAGUGGUGCUAUUUUUAAUCAGCUGACCAGGGAUGAAAGUUGUUCAGAGAAUUCUGCUUUCAUACAUUAGAAAAAAAACCCAGAAAAUCAAUCUAGCACUAAUAAAAGAUGAUUGAAAAUUGCUAAUACCAACCAAUUGUGAAACUUUGCCUUACAAAAAAGGAGAGCGCUCAUGAGUUUCCUCGUCUCCUCUACUGUAAACAACGCACAGGGCUCAGCUCCUACCACUGUCUCCCCCUGCACUCAGCAGGCUGCUGGUGGUUAUUACAGGAGGCUGCCUUACCAUUAGCACAGCAAUGCCAAUUAAUUGCAGUCAUGAGCAGACUUCACAUUUAAGGAACCUCACAGCCUGAGCCCUAGCAGCAUUUGUAGAUUCAGAAUGUGUUUAGAAAGCUCUGUUUCCAGGGGGUAUGGUGUGUGUCUCUACAAAGAGGGGAAGUCUCUGAGGGUCAGGGGUGAGG